UCGAGGAUCUUCGGCAAUGGGGGCAACCCUGACCGAGCGAUGCCGCGUGCGCGAUGAAGGCCUUCGGGUUGUAAAGCGCGAAAGUGGGGAGAAACGCCGAAAGGCUUGAUCUAUCCACAGUAAGCUCGGGCUAAGUUCGUGCCAGCAGCCGCGGUAAGACGAACCGAGCGAACGUUGUUCGGAAUCACUGGGCUUAAAGGGCGCGUAGGCGGGCUGUCAAGUUUGGGGUGAAAUCCCGCGGCUCAACCGUGGAACUGCCUCAAAUACUGACGGUCUCGAGGGAGGUAGGGGCGAGCGGAACUGAUGGUGGAGCGGUGAAAUGCGUUGAUAUCAUCAGGAACUCCGGUGGCGAAGGCGGCUCGCUGGACCUCUUCUGACGCUGAGGCGCGAAAGCUAGGGGAGCAAACG
rnacentral:rRNA from 1 species